rnacentral:rRNA from 1 species
UGGGGAAUAUUGGGCAAUGGGCGCAAGCCUGACCCAGCAACGCCGCGUGAAGGAAGAAGGCUUUCGGGUUGUAAACUUCUUUUCUCAGGGACGAAGAAAGUGACGGUACCUGAGGAAUAAGCCACGGCUAACUACGUGCCAGCAGCCGCGGUAAUACGUAGGUGGCAAGCGUUAUCCGGAUUUACUGGGUGUAAAGGGCGUGUAGGCGGGAAAGCAAGUCAGAUGUGAAAACCACGGGCUCAACCUGUGGCCUGCAUUUGAAACUGUUUUUCUUGAGUACUGGAGAGGCAGACGGAAUUCCUAGUGUAGCGGUGAAAUGCGUAGAUAUUAGGAGGAACACCAGUGGCGAAGGCGGUCUGCUGGACAGCAACUGACGCUGAGGCGCGAAAGCGUGGGGAGCAAACAGG